rnacentral:lncRNA from 1 species
CUCGGCCAGGCCUGAGAUGCCGGGAGGGUUUGACCCUGGGGCUGCAUGGACAGCUUAGCGCUCGGCCGCUGGCGACAGCGGAGGGCGGAGGAUCUGCAGGUUCCGGGGGACGUGACAUGUUUUGAGCGCCUGCUGUGUCUCAAGCCCUGUCCUAGGCACUGGAGAUGAGAUGAAGAAACGAUGAGUAGAGGCCUUGCUUACGUUUAUCCUGCAACUCAUGAUGAGGCUUACUCUGCAACUCCAGUGCUCGGCUUUUUACACAACAGAGUCUCUGUUGCCCAGGCUGGAGUACAGUCGCACGAUCUUGGCUCACUGCAACCUCUGCCUCUCAGGUUCGAGUGAUUCUUCUGCCUCAGCCUCCCAAGUUGCUGGGAUUACAGAAACGGGUAUGCAGGAGAUUAGAAGCCAGUGGGCAUGAGCGUGGCUGCCACCAGGUGAAUGCCUGUGCCCUGGCGUCCUGGGGCCCAGAGGACCGGGAGCUUCCAUCAAGAGGCUGCCUCCCAGCACCAAGGCCAGAGAGUGGCCAGGGGAGGCUAAGUACAGGGAUUUCUCAGAAUGGUGGAAGGAGCUCAGCCCAGCCUUGCCCAAGAUGUAUUGCAGGGGAAUCUAUGGAGUUUUGCUCUCGUUGCCCACGCUGGAGUGCAAUGGCAUGAUCUCAGCUCACUGCAACCUCCGCUUCCCAGGUUCAAGCGAUUCUCCUGCCUCAGCCACCCAAGUAGUUGGGAUUACAGGUGUGUGCCACCAUGCCUGGCGACUUUUGUAUUUUCAGUAGAGAUGGGGUUUCACCUUGUUGAUCAGGCUGGUCUCAAACUCCUGACCUCAAGUGAUCCACCCACCUCGGCCUCCCAAAGUGCUGGGAUUACAGGCGAGAGCCACCGUGCCCGGCCAUGACCUUCUUUAGUUCUUUGACCAUAUUUAAAAUGGCUGAGGUGAAGUCUCUGGUAAGUUCAUGUCUGGGCUUUGUGUUCUGUUUGCCCUUCCAGGUCAGAUCCACUGCCCACCUUUCCUGGCAUCUGCACAGGAGGCCAGCCUGCAUGGCUUACAUCCAGGGGGUGCCGGGGGCACCUGGGCUCUCCCACUUCCCUUUGGGCUCAGCCGCUAGGGGGAUUUGGGGCAGGCAACAGGAGGCUGGAGAACGAGGGCAGGGUAUGUGGCCAUGUCCCCUGGCCAGUGUCACUCAGCAGCAUGUGUCAUCUCCUCCUUCCAGGUUCUGGUAGCCGCUGCUGCCCUUUAUCCCUUGGGUCUGGCCCCUGCACUGUCCCUCGCGGCUCCCAGGACAACUUUGUGACAAAUCCUUUUGUAAUAACCCCUUUGUGAGGUCUCCUGUUCGCCCAUGUAUCUGUUUCCUGUUGGGGCUAUGACUGGUACAGAAGGGUGCACGCCCACUUUCAAGUGUUGACGCCUCCAAGAAGGAAGGGAGGAAGAUGAGGCAAGGGUGUGACAGGUGUCCCUCGGCACAGGGCACAGCAGGUGCUCUAAAGACAUUUCAUCAUACAAAGAUGCAUGCUGGUAAAGACGGAUGAUUGUCUUAGAGGUCCAAGCUUUUACUGUAGGCCUUUGUAGAAUUCUCUUGAGAAGGGACAGUGUUUUGUGGUAGUAAAGACGAAUAUGCUGUUAAAGGAAGAAAAAAUGACUCCUCUGGCAGAUGGUAAUGGCAGGAAUCGUCAACAUCUUUAACCCACAGAGGGCUGCUGUCAUCCUGUCACACAGGUACUCGGGGAGAAGCAGAGAGCUAGCCACAGCCAGGGCUCUGCCCAUUAAGGAAAAAUGGCUUCAGCAAAAAGGGAAGGAGAUGUGGGGUGCAGUUCUCUCCUCCCCCAGUCCACAGGGAUGACUUGCAGCUAGAUGUACCAGAGGUGAGGGCAUCAAUCUGGGUGUUUCACGUAAUGGUCCCAGAUGGAGUGAGGUGUGUCCCUGUUGGCCCUGCUGUCCUUCCGGCUCCACAGAGAGGUCAUGGAGAGCCCAGCGAGGAAGGCUUCCAAAAAGGAAAGGGGGACGUUUUGAGGGAGUUCAUGCGUGGUGGCAAACCCCACAAAGAAGCCGUUGCAGUGAGAGAUGAAAGAAGGGCUGAGGCCACACACGUGUGCCCCAAGGGUGUGGAGGAGAAGGCGCUGGGCAGCAGGUGCAACCAGAAGCAGCUGGCCCUGGGCCCUUUUCAUUCCAAGGUUAGAAGCAAAUAAAAACUCCCUCUUCACAAACAUCGUUCUCUUGCUCCGUGGAAUUGUGUUUUACCAAAAGUGGAAAAGGGUUUUCCCAUUAUUGCUGAUCAAAUCACUUUUCAAGCCUGACCAAACAGGAGGCAAGGCAUUUUAAUUGUCUGCAGUAAGACUCACAGUCGAGGCACAAUGAGCCUGAUGCUCCUCGUCAGACCUGCCUCUGGUGGCUGGUGUGGGCCAUCUGUGAGUCCCAGAGUCUGAUGACUUGAGGUCCCACUGGCCCAGCCCCAGUCUAGAUUGGGGUCAGUACGAGGCUUCUCUUUGGGUGUCACUGGGGGCUGCUUGCUUUGAGAGAGACAGAGACAAACUGGGACGUGUCAAGAAGAGAGAGUAGGAUGAUGCGGGGACUUGAGAUCAUGCCAGGGCAGAGGUUUAAAUGAGCAAUUUCGAAAGGUUCCUUUGUGUCUAAGAGAGAGUAGAAUGGUGCGGGGGCUUGAGAUCACACCGGGGCAAAAGGUCUAAAGAGCAAUUUCUAAAGGUUCCUUUGUGUCUAAGAUUCUGGGUCUUGGCCAGCUGCGUUGGUUCACACCUAUAAUCCCAAGACUUUGGGAGGCUAAGGCGAGUGGAUCGCCUGAGGCCAGGAGUUCUAGACCAGCCUGGACAACAUGAUGAAACCCUGUCUCUACC